rnacentral:rRNA from 1 species
GCAUAUCAAUAAGCGGAGGAAAAGAAACCAACAGGGAUUGCCCUAGUAACGGCGAGUGAAGCGGCAACAGCUCAAAUUUGAAAUCUGGCUCUCGGGCCCGAGUUGUAAUUUGUAGAGGAUACUUUUGAUGCGGUGCCUUCCGAGUUCCCUGGAACGGGACGCCAUAGAGGGUGAGAGCCCCGUCUGGUUGGAUGCCAAAUCUCUGUAAAGUUCCUUCGACGAGUCGAGUAGUUUGGGAAUGCUGCUCUAAAUGGGAGGUAUAUGUCUUCUAAAGCUAAAUACCGGCCAGAGACCGAUAGCGCACAAGUAGAGUGAUCGAAAGAUGAAAAGCACUUUGAAAAGAGAGUUAAAAAGUACGUGAAAUUGUUGAAAGGGAAGCGUUUAUGACCAGACUUGGGCUUGGUUGAUCAUCUGGGGUUCUCCCCAGUGCACUCUUCCAGUCCAGGCCAGCAUCAGUUUUCCCCGGGGGAUAAAGACUUCGGGAAUGUGGCUCUCUUCGGGGAGUGUUAUAGCCCGUUGUGUAAUACCCUGGGGGGGACUGAGGUUCGCGCAUCUGCAAGGAUGCUGGCGUAAUGGUCAUCAACGACCCGUCUUGAAACACGGACCAAGGAGUCGUCUUCGUAUGCGAGUGUUCGGGUGUCAAACCCCUACGCGUAAUGAAAGUGAACGCAGGUGAGAGCUUCGGCGCAUCAUCGACCGAUCCUGAUGUUCUCGGAUGGAUUUGAGUAAGAGCAUACGGGGCCGGACCCGAAAGAAGGUGAACUAUGCCUGUAUAGGGUGAAGCCAGAGGAAACUCUGGUGGAGGCUCGCAGCGGUUCUGACGUGCAAAUCGAUCGUCAAAUAUGGGCAUGGGGGCGAAAGACUAAUCGAAC